rnacentral:rRNA from 1 species
CCUACGGGAGGCAGCAGUAGGGGAUAUUGCUCAAUGGGGGAAACCCUGAAGCAGCAACGCCGCGUGGAGGAUGAAGGUUUUCGGAUUGUAAACUCCUUUUGUUAGAGAAGAUAAUGACGGUAUCUAACGAAUAAGCACCGGCUAACUCCGUGCCAGCAGCCGCGGUAAUACGGAGGGUGCAAGCGUUACCCGGAAUCACUGGGCGUAAAGAGCGCGUAGGCGGGAUAGCAAGUCAGAUGUGAAAUCCUAUGGCUUAACCAUAGAACUGCAUUUGAAACUGUUAUUCUAGAGUAUGGGAGAGGUAGGUGGAAUUCUUGGUGUAGGGGUAAAAUGCGUAGAGAUCAAGAGGAAUACUCAUUGCGAAGGCGACCUGCUAGAACAUAACUGACGCUGAUGCGCGAAAGCGUGGGGAGCAAACAGGAUUAGAUACCCCUGUAGUC